UACGUAGGGUGCGAGCGUUAAUCGGAAUUACUGGGCGUAAAGGGCGCGUAGGCGGCGCAACAAGUCACUUGUGAAAUCUCCGGGCUUAACUCGGAAAGGUCAAGUGAUACUGUUGUGCUAGAGUGCGGAGGGGGCAACUGGAAUUCUCGGUGUAGCGGUGAAAUGCGUAGAUAUCGAGAGGAACACCUGCGGCGAAGGCGGGUUGCUGGGCCGACACUGACGCUGAUGCGCGAAAGCCAGGGGAGCGAACGGG
rnacentral:rRNA from 1 species